UACGGGGGGGGCAAGCGUUGUUCGGAAUUACUGGGCGUAAAGGGCUCGUAGGCGGCCAACUAAGUCGGAUGUGAAAUCCCUCAGCUUAACUGGGGAACUGCGUCUGAUACUGGAUGGCUUGAGUUUGGGAGAGGGACGCGGAAUUCCAGGUGUAGCGGUGAAAUGCGUAGAUAUCUGGAGGAACACCGGUGGCGAAGGCGGCGUCCUGGACCAACACUGACACUGAUGAGCGAAAGCCAGGGGAGCAAACGGG
rnacentral:rRNA from 1 species